rnacentral:rRNA from 1 species
AGCAGCCGCGGUAAUUCCAGCUCCAAUAGCGUAUAUUAAAGUUGUUGCAGUUAAAAAGCUCGUAGUUGAAUUUCGGGAUUGACACAUCGGUCGUGCCUUAAGGGGUAUGAACUGGUGUAGUCAAUUUCUCACCUUCUGGAGAACCGCGAUGCCCUUAAUUGGGUGUCGCGGGGAACCAGGACCUUUACUUUGAAAAAAUUAGAGUGUUUAAAGCAGGCAUUUUGCUUGAAUACAUUAGCAUGGAAUAAUAAAAUAGGACGGCAUGAUUCUAUUUUGUUGGUUUCUAGGAUCACCGUAAUGAUUAAUAGGGAUAGUUGGGGGCAUUAGUAUUCAAUUGUCAGAGGUGAAAUUCUUGGAUUUAUUGAAGACUAACUACUGCGAAAGCAUUUGCCAAGGAUGUUUUCAUUAAUCAAAGAACGAAAGUUAGGGGAUCGAAGACGAUCAGAUACCGUCGUAGUCUUAACCAUAAACUAUGCCGACUAGGAAUCAGACGAUGUUAAUUUUUUAAUGACUCGUUUGG